rnacentral:lncRNA from 1 species
CACAGUCAGAUGCAGCCUGCAGGUUGCUAUGGUUUGUUCAUCCUGGUUGAUAAUUUAUCUUCUGAGGACUCUUGCAGGGAGACUGGAGGCUUUCUGUCCCAGCAACGCUCUCUCCUCUGGAGAGAAGAGUGAGCACAGGAAACAGGAAUGGGCAGGAAGCACGUGGAAAGCUCUGACUGGAGGUACUGGUGCAGUUCCACAUGAGAGUGAGUGGGCUUGCAUUAAAGCUGGUUGCUGCUGUGGCCCUCUGGGGUCCACCACAGCAGGAGACGAGGCUGUCCUAUUGCUUGACAUUACUGAUGGCAAUGACACAGACAAGUUUGGCGACUUUCACACUCAGCUCCCCAGUUCUAUAAUGCACUUGUUGGCAGAACUCAAAGCCCUUUGGAAAGGAGUACUGAAGCAUUCUCUGGGCCGCAAUAACAUGGAAAGUGGAGGACGUGAGUUUACACCCUCUUGUGAAAAGAAAAAUAACCAAAUUUUCUUAAAAUAG